UAAUAAUAAUAAUAAAAAUGUCCGACCAUUCCACUUGACACCACCAAAACGACACCACCGGUGGUGUCAUAAGGAAUCU